GAUGAAGAACGCAGCGAAAUGCGAUACGUAGUGUGAAUUGCAGAAUUCAGUGAAUCAUCGAAUCUUUGAACGCACAUUGCGCCCGCCAGCAUUCUGGCGGGCAUGCCUGUUCGAGCGUCAUUUCAACCCUCGACCUCCCUUUGGGGAAGUCGGCGUUGGGGACCGGCAGCACACCGCCGGCCCUGAAAUGGAGUGGCGGCCCGUCCGCGGCGACCUCUGCGUAGUAAUCCAACUCGCACCGGAACCCCGACGCGGCCACGCCGUAAAACACCCAACUUCUGAACGUUGACCUCGAAUCAGGUAGGACUACCCGCUGAACUUAAGCAUAUCAAUAAGCGGAGGA
rnacentral:misc_RNA from 1 species